rnacentral:rRNA from 1 species
GACGAACGCUGGCGGCGUGCUUAACACAUGCAAGUCGUACGGUAAGGCCCUUUCGGGGGUCCACGAGUGGCGAACGGGUGAGUAACACGUGAGUAACCUGCCCACAACUUUGGGAUAACGCUAGGAAACUGGUGCUAAUACUGGAUAUGUGCUCCUGCUGCAUGGUGGGGGUUGGAAAGCUCCGGCGGUUGUGGAUGGACUCGCGGCCUAUCAGCUUGUUGGUGGGGUAGUGGCCUACCAAGGCGGCGACGGGUAGCCGGCCUGAGAGGGUGACAGGCCACAUUGGGACUGAGAUACGGCCCAGACUCCUACGGGAGGCAGCAGUGGGGAAUAUUGCACAAUGGGCGCAAGCCUGAUGCAGCAACGCCGCGUGCGGGAGGACGGCCUUCGGGUUGUAAACCGCUUUCAGCAGGGACGAAGCUUUUUGUGACGGUACCUGCAGAAGAAGCACCGGCUAACUACGUG